rnacentral:lncRNA from 1 species
CCGCGCCCACCGCCCCGCUUCCUCCCGCGGGGGCCUCCGCCGCUCUCCCCCCGCUGCUCCGGCCCUUGGCCAGAAGCUCAGAAACCAUACCCACUUCAUUAGCGUGGCAGCAGGGACUGUCAGCCCUUUCCUUUGAGGUUACUAAUGAAGCUCAGUGCCUGACGGUGCUGUUGGCAGCAGGCAGUGUGAUGGGUCAGUGGGAUCGGAGUGCAUCCCGGCUGUCACACUGGGACGCCCCCAUGUGCCCCCAUGUGCCCCCUGAGCCCGGCCGCGCUUUGGAGAG